AGUCAACGCUGGCGGUAGGCCUAACACAUGCAAGUCGAACGGCGGCACAGUAAGAGCUUGCUCUUACGGGUGGCGAGUGGCGGACGGGUGAGGAAUACAUCGGAAUCUACUUUUUCGUGGGGGAUAACGUAGGGAAACUUACGCUAAUACCGCAUACGACCUACGGGUGAAAGCAGGGGAUCUUCGGACCUUGCGCGAUUGAAUGAGCCGAUGUCGGAUUAGCUAGUUGGCGGGGUAAAGGCCCACCAAGGCGACGAUCCGUAGCUGGUCUGAGAGGAUGAUCAGCCACACUGGAACUGAGACACGGUCCAGACUCCUACGGGAGGCAGCAGUGGGGAAUAUUGGACAAUGGGCGCAAGCCUGAUCCAGCCAUACCGCGUGGGUGAAGAAGGCCUUCGGGUUGUAAAGCCCUUUUGUUGGGAAAGAAAAGCAGCAGGUUAAUACCCCGCUGUUCUGACGGUACCCAAAGAAUAAGCACCGGCUAACUUCGUG
rnacentral:rRNA from 1 species